rnacentral:lncRNA from 1 species
UUUUUAUUUCAAAUUCUCACGUAGCAUCUAGAACUCAGGAUAUUAGACCUCCUCACACUACCAUUACUAGAUAUGAAACUCCUACGAUAAGAAGAAAUAAUUACACUACUUCAACAGUCCAUAGUCCACUUGAUUACAAUUUGAUAUUCCUUUAGGCCGAUUUAUGACACACAUAAAUCUACUAAAACCAACAAGCGAUAUUACAUUAAUCCAACAGGGCGUCAAUUACUACUAGUAUUCCGCUAAAAAACUCAUAAGCAUCUCUAAAUAUACAAACACACAAUUAAUAUUUCAAACGAGCAAACUCAUGUUUAACAGUCCAUCGGUCAAUACAGUCCAAAGUUUACACAACAAAUUGACACUUAACUAUGCUAAACAACACUUAACUAGUAUGUAAUAGUCCAAGAGGCAGAUCUCAGGAUCAUAACAGGUGGGAAAUUUUAUUCCAUUUUUGAGCUUGGAGUUACAGUAGAAUUUUGAAUGUGUACCUAGUAAUCGAAUUACAACAGAAGAAGAAAAGAUCACCAGCAAGUAAUAAAAGCUAGUAUCCAGCAGUCAUACACAACAACAAUAGGGACAGUAUGAGCCAAAAUCACUUCACAAAAAACCAGGAAACUUCACAGAAGUACUGCACUCAAUAGCUGAUCCCAAAAUGACUCAAUUUAAACCAAACUUCACUCUAAAUUCCACCAAAAAUACCUUUGAAACUCCAGGAUACCAGAAAACUAAACUAGGAAAUGGAAAUCAACUACUAAAACUAGAAAUUAGCUAGAAAAACUGAAUAGAACAGUGCAUUUUGGAUUUCUUUUUGUUGAAUUUUGUUUGUUUUUGGAUUUUUAGGGAACUAAGAUCUAGAAACUCUAUCAGAUUUUCAGUUUUCUUUUUUAGUCCAUAUUCAUUUUCAGCUUUCGUCCUUUAUUUUUUGACUUGUUACCCAAGUAAAUUCCACUGAUAUUACAAAAAUUAUACUUAUACCCCUAUCUAGAAAGUUCAUGAAAACUCUAGUAUGACCUAUAACCUUCAUUUCUACUUCCAAUUACCCACAUACCCCUGAAUAUCCCCUGAAUUUACUAAACUUACUAAUUAAGCUAACAACACUCAUUAAUAUGAUCAACCAAGAAUCACACACAAAAUUUCAAAUUAAGACUUAAACCUAAAGAAAAGAUCAAUAGGAAUGAGUUCUUACUAACCAGAUCAGAAAGGAAGAUAAUGAUCACUAAAAAAAAUUAAACUAAAACCUAUUGCGAAUGAAGAUGGACUAAGAUGAAAACAACAUUAACACCUAACAAAUCCUAAUUUAAUGAAGUUAUGAUAAUAAUCAAACUAGCAUAUAAAAUAGAACGAAUUAAAAUCUAAAUAAACAAACAAUCAAACAGCCAAUUAGAAUGAUAUUGAUAGAAGUUAAAACACUCAUUAAACUAAGUAUAAGAACAGAAAAAAAAAAAGAGAAUUAAACAAAUAAGCAGGAAUAUAAAAGAAAAAGAAAAAUAAACAAUCGAGAACUCACUGACUCGACUUCAAAACACCAGUUGAUUCUCAAAAUUCAAAUCCGGCCAUGUCCGGUGGUAAUUGAGUGCUACUGACAUGGAAUUCCUCAUGAGGAAGAGGAAGGGAUCACAUGGUAUCAAUUUGGUAUAAUUUUGGGAAUUUAGGAUUUUGACCGGAAAUCUUUAAUUUAAAAUUUGAAGGAUUCCAGUUAGAUUCGAAGGGUGAGGCUUUGGGGGCUCGAUAGAGGACGGGGAGGGGAACCUAUGGUGUUAUUUUGUACUAGUUUGUAAAGAGUUAUGUUCUGGACGGAAAACCUAUGAUCCGAUAUUUGACCAGUUUGGAUGGCGUUUGAGGGAUAAGGAUUGUGGAUUUGAGAUGAGGGAGAAGAAGGGGCUUCAGGGUGUCAUUUCGGGGUAGUUUGUAGACGGGCCGCCGCCGUGGGCAAUUUCCAGGUGCGGCGUUACAAGGCUGGUCACAGGGUGAUUUGGGGACGAUUAAACGGGGGGGAGGGGGGUGAGAAUCUAACACUCUUAUAUUUUUUGUUCCUUAGUUCCUGGCCGUU